CAGUCGCCGCGGGAAAACGGAGGGAGCUAGCGUUGUUCGGAAUUACUGGGCGUAAAGCGCGCGUAGGCGGUUACUCAAGUCAGAGGUGAAAGCCCGGGGCUCAACCCCGGAACUGCCUUUGAAACUAGGUGACUAGAAUCUUGGAGAGGUCAGUGGAAUUCCGAGUGUAGAGGUGAAAUUCGUAGAUAUUCGGAAGAACACCAGUGGCGAAGGCGACUGACCGGACAAGUAUUGACGCUGAGGUGCGAAAGCGUGGGGAGCAAACAGGAUUAGAUACCCCCGUAGUCCCUGUCUCUUAUAC
rnacentral:rRNA from 1 species